rnacentral:lncRNA from 1 species
GGCAAGUCCAAGCAUAAUGAGGUCAGCAUCCGCUCCACAUAAGCAAUGAUGAGUGUUUGGGUCAUGGUUAGGUUGAGCUCUUUGUCUUCUAAUAUAAAGAGGCCAUUGACCACCAAAUAUUAUCGUCUUUCCUGUCCGCUUCCUUAAUCCAUUCAUAUGGAGAUAGCAACAAAUAUGAUUAAAUUAUACCAAGAAACUCCAUCCGAAGAUUGAUAGGAACUUUGAACACAAUGACAUCGUCGUUAAGAAACUGCUUCCUAGACUAU